AGAGGUUUAACUACACUAGUAUAGAGCAUCGUUUACUAAAGGUUUGUUGAGGUUUGUUGUUGAUUUGUUUCUACUUACACGAGAUGUCUUCAUUUUUACCCUCGGUCUUGAAAUAAAAUUUUGGUGCAUGUUCA
ensembl:lncRNA novel transcript